rnacentral:tRNA from 1 species
GCCGUAGGGGAACCUGCGGCUGGAUCACCUCCUUACAACGACUCGCCGCGUCGGCGCGUCGGAGCAUCCACACAAGUUAUCUGAAUAAUAGGGUCCACGGGCCCAUGGGAACGGAUUGGGUCUGUAGCUCAGUUGGUUAGAGCGCACCCCUGAUAAGGGUGAGGUCGCUGGUUCAACUCCAGCCAGACCCACCACUUAAGAUUUCACGGAAUGAGAUUAAGGGGCCAUAGCUCAGCCGGGAGAGCGCCUGCUUUGCAAGCAGGAGGUCGGGAGUUCGAUUCUCCCUGGCUCCACCAAUUUCGGAUUGGGUGGCUGCGGAGCAGCUCACCGCCCUUAACCCUUAAGGCUUCGAGAAUCAAAUUCGGCGCUUUGCAUCCGGCGAAGCACCAAGCUCUUUAACAAUCAGGUUAGAUCGCGGAAGGCGCCAAGCCGAACGCAAGUUCGGCUGGAUGCGUUACAAGCGUCAGCGUAUAGCCUCAG